rnacentral:rRNA from 1 species
UGGGGAAUAUUGCACAAUGGGCGAAAGCCUGAUGCAGCAACGCCGCGUGAGUGAUGAAGGUCUUCGGAUUGUAAAGCUCUGUCUUUUGGGACGAUAAUGACGGUACCAAAGGAGGAAGCCACGGCUAACUACGUGCCAGCAGCCGCGGUAAUACGUAGGUGGCGAGCGUUGUCCGGAUUUACUGGGCGUAAAGGGUGCGUAGGCGGAUGUUUAAGUGAGAUGUGAAAUACCCGGGCUUAACUUGGGUGCUGCAUUUCAAACUGGAUAUCUAGAGUGCAGGAGAGGAGAAUGGAAUUCCUAGUGUAGCGGUGAAAUGCGUAGAGAUUAGGAAGAACACCAGUGGCGAAGGCGAUUCUCUGGACUGUAACUGACGCUGAGGCACGAAAGCGUGGGUAGCAAACAGGAUUAGAUACCCUGGUAGUCCACGCCGUAAACGAUGAGUACUAGGUGUAGGAGGUAUUGACCCCUUCUGUGCCGCAGUAAACACAUUAAGUACUCCGCCUGGGAAGUACGAUCGCAAGAUUAAAACUCAAAGUGAA